UGGACGUGGCUAUAGAGUGUCUUUUUCAGGAAGUUCUGCAGAAACUAUCGAGAAGGCAAAGGCUUUCUAGAAGUGUAAAAACCCUCUUCCGGAACAGAAGUCUACAUUAGUCAUCAGUGGAAUAAACCACCGUCUAAAAACAGCACCUCAAGUUGGAGAAGGCAAGACAUUUGUUGGUAUCUAUCAGACACACACAACUUCCCUUGAAAUGAAAAAUGAUCCAAGACUUAAAACACAUUUGGAGGAUGCCCAGAAAAUGAAAGAACAGGAACAAGCUGACUAUGUGCAAAAAAUACAGAGAUGGUGGGAUAUACAUGUCAGAUGUAGUUUGUGAAUCAAAGAUGGGUGUCGAUGACACUCAAAUAUAAAGCAAACACUUGUCUAAAUUUUAGAGAAGAAGCUCAACAAACACUGGCCAAAAGAAAGGUUGAGAGAUUAAAGGUGAAGCGACCCUUUUGCUAUUGGAUGUGCAAAGCAAAUAGGAAUGAGUAAUGGGGGGAUUCAUCAUGCAAUGCAUGGUAUUAGCACAGCCUUAGGAGUCAGGGGAGAGCAUGCACGUUAAAUAUGAACCGUCAUAAACCCUUUACCCCCAAAGAGUGACCAGUGCAAAGGCUUCCUUAUUAAUUCUCAGAUUUCCAAGUACACUACAAUAAUACAAAUUAAACUUAGAAAUUCUCUGAGAGCCUUAGCAAACUUUGCCAAACAUGUACCUCCAAGAAAGUUACCCUCUCUUCAUUAUACACUUUGCAUUCAACAAUCUGUCUCAAAAAGAUAACUGACAUGUAACAUUAAUAUUCCAGAAGACACAAUAUAUUUCUAAUUGUCACUUGCAGCCAAAUUCUUCAUUAGCGCAUGCACCAACAUAGCAUCCUUGAAAAGUAAAGCUAAUUGCAGAAAUGACACAAUGGACACAACAAGUAGCAUCUAAUUUCUUCUUACAAUAUCACCCCUAAAUCACACAGCAAGGCUACAAGAAUAGGGGAAAAGAAGCUUUUGAUUGUUAAACAAAUUCUCCUUGACAGCACCUUAAGAAAUGUUUAGGGGACAGUAUGGAGAAUAUUCAUACUGAUGUUAGAGUGUAAUGAGUUUAAGAUGGAGGACUGAUUGUCAACCCUUUAACUCCCAAGAUCUUGCUAGUAAUUCUCCUUACUGUCUACUAUACAGUUCAUGUGAUGUUAGUUUGGAGAAUUUGGUAUUUGAUCAACUUAUAAUCUCCUAAUUGGUAUUUUUCUUUUUUCAUCUCUUGUCUGCUUGGUAUUGUAUUGAUAUUGGAAGGAGAAAUUCUGUCUUGGUCACUCACAGGAGUUAAGGAUUAAAUACGGCAGAUUACUAGGGAAGACUUUUGUGGGGAUCCCAGCUAAGUUUGUACCAGAUAUAUUGCAGAAUAGCUCAGUAAUCCGAAUUGCAACCUUUAGAGGUUGACCUGAUACAAAAAGAUAAUAUUCUGUAUAGUACUACCCAUGAAUUCACUUUAGGUUUACUUUAAUUUAAGGUACUACUGUUCUUGCUUAAGAUGAGUUUUCCUUUUCUUCGUCAAAGUAUUUUUUUAUGUAAUAUAGCAUCCUGACACAUUGUGGAUGAUACCCAAAACUUUUAACAAUUCUGCAAAAAUUGAGGUAAUCAUGGUCAUGAAGAAGUUUAAAUCAGCAAUCACUUACUUCAAUGUCAUGAUCUCUUCAUUCUCACCUGAACUCCCUUUAGUGAGAAGGCAAAUGAGGGGGGUGGGGUGGGUGCAAGAAAGAGUUGAGACCCAUUCUUAGUUGGAACCAGGCUAAAAUAUCCAAAUAUUUAUGAUCUUGAGCAUCAAUCAUGAUUCAAGAAAUUAAAGAAGGGAGCUGGUUGCAAUUCAAUGCUAUAUUACCUGAAAUACAGACCUUUGGCCCUCUCAUGAAAAUGAAAAGCUAUUUUUGAACCUUAAUUUAAACUUUUAGCCUUUAAUUGUGGAAGCAGAGGGUGCAGUGGUGAGAGUGCUUCCCUCCCACCCCUCCCACUACUGUGAACUGGGCUCAAAUCUUGGACUUGGCAUCACAUGUGGAUUUAGUUUGUAGUUGGUUCUUGUCCUUGCUCUAAGGGGUUUUCUCUGGGUCUUCCAGUUUUCCUCUCUCAGGGAAAUACCAGCAUUCUAAAUUCCAAUUCGACCUGACAAAAGUGGAUAGGAAGAGCCACCCCAUGGAUUGUCCAAUGCUAAAAUCCAGUUAUUUAUUUUUUUGUGUACCGCCAUCCAUGCAGGCUUUGCCAUGUUUAGGACCAGUCACUAUAUAUAUUACCAAGGGGAGGAUUUUUGUUGUAUCACACUGAAAUUAACCUUGUGCCCCCCCCAAAUCUUUGUAGUAUUUUAAUGAUCCCCCUCAUUGACAGUCAAUGUCUUAUAGCCCCCCCCCUUUGUACUCUGUCAGCAAUGACUGUUUCUCCCCCCCCUCUGUUCCCCUGAAAACCAUGCGAUCCCCCCUUCAUUCUUUCUUUCCCCCCCCCCCCAUGAUAAAUAAUGAUAGGUGCUUUGGUUUUAAUUUCCCCUGAGCAGAAAGAAGUAAUUUCACAUCGUCAGCCCAAAGAACAUGUCUUCAACAUCUUAGAGUCCAGUGAAGAAGAUGAAGAAGCCUUCGAAGCCAUGGCAGAAAUUGAUAAGUUUGAGGAAAGUCUUAAACAGAAGGAAAUUAUAAAACCAGAGUAGAAACUAACUUUCUGAAAGUUAUCCUUAUUUCUUGUAAAGAAAAAAAUCUUGCCACUGUACAUAACUGUAAGAAAUGUAAAUAAAGUGUUAUUUCCAUUGUA